GUGCUAAAAAGUCAACGGCGUCAAACAUUUCGAAACGGAGGGAGUAUAUUCUAUUGACAGAUAACAUGACUAGAAAUAGAGGCCAAAAGAGAUAUCACUUGCUGAGAGUUGCAGUUGAAGUUGGAGGAGAGGAUUCCAUCAUGCAUGUAUCAGAUCAAAGUUAUCAAGUAGUAGCAUAUAUACACCCAAUUUGCCGUGGUUUCUUUCCAGUCGGACAUACGAAUGGAAGUCAUCAGAAACAAUUCUAUUGCACACAGGGUCACUGACAGAAAGAGCGUUGGUUUAGCAGCAUCUGCGUUGGUCAACUGCACAGACGUUUCAUCUCCUCUUCCAUUUUCCAGAGAUUUCCUCCGUGGAUUCCCAAAGCUAUAAAAUCUUGGCCAACUUCGUAUUAAGGGAGAGGUUAAGCUCACAAUGUCAGGGAUUUGAGGGGCUGUGCAUGCAGUCAAUACUCAAUACUGAUGUAGCCAUAUCACAACAGGCAAAAGUGUUUGUUGCAUAGGAAUUUCAUGGUCUAACUAUAGUUUCAUACUAGCUAGUUGAUCAAAAUUUUACGCUCACAGCUCAUUGAAGAUAAAGUGAGCACCAGAUCGAUCAGUGCCACGGUUGGUCUUCAGUUCUUCAAAAAUACGAACAGAAGGAGCACCUAUCCUUUUUAGUAAUGGGAAUAAUUUCAUAAAUAAUUGCUCAGCUAAAAUUUUACGGCAAUUUACAUUCAGAUAGAAAUUAUAAAAUGGAGACUAGAAGAGGGAUCUUUCACAUAGGCACAAUGCAAUUUCCCCCAUCUAGCAGCGCACGUCAUCCCCCGAUCAUUCAUGUGGUGGUGUUUACCGUAGGAAUAAAAGUCAUCUGGAAUGAUAGGUCAUACUUCACAGCUCUUCAUUGCUGAGGUGUAUGAUUUAAGAAUUCAAAUUGCAUAUAACCUUUUUACUGUAAAAUAGUAAUCUUAAUUCUGUGAGUAGUAACACUUCGGUGCUUGCUCUGACAUGAGUUCAAUCUUAAUGUAGCAUGACCACUGCAUUACGCAACGAAGCUUGAAGUCUGAAUUUCAAUUCAAAACUGUAAUAUCGGAGAUAUCGGCAGGAAAGUUCAUGUGCAUCAUCAAUUGUUUUUGGUCCAAAUCCUUGCCAAAAAUGUGUUAUUUCAUUGCAUUAUUUAUCAAAUAGUUUGGAUUUGAAAGCAGUACAUAUAUAACAGUAACAGACAUGAAAAUUGGUACGAGAUAUGCGUGUAUCUCUUCUCAGCACCAACUCAAGAGAUCAGAGCAAUCAGCUGACAUUCUAAUUUACUAGCCGUGUUGCAUAGCAAUUUUAUCAUCUAAGAAUGAGCUUCAUAGUACGAUAUCAAUUAUUCCUACACUACAUCUAUUUGAAACGGUAAGGUCGAAAAAAAAAGUAGAGAUGAGGUGAACAUUGGCAGCAUAUUUGAUGUUCACCCAAUACCAGUCAAGGAACAAGUGCUGCAGUACAGAGACAACUAUAUCUCAGCUUCACUGAUUUUUUGUAGGUCCAGAAAUCUGAAGCUGAUGUUUCACCCUAGGCAAUCUGCCAUGUUGGUAAAACCCUGUUUCGAUUUUUCGUCAAUAUAAAUUCACAUAGGAAUUCUAAAUUGGAGACAAGAAUGAAAACAUCUCAAUCUUUUGAAAGGAUCACAAUUGAGAACUUUACUUUAUAGGAUCGUAAAGGGCAUUUCCCACUUAUAAAUUAGGUCUUUUGCACUUCCACAACUAAUAUGCGACUAUUCAACACACUUAGCCAGUUGCCUUUGCAUGUCCCCAGUUCAAGUGGUGAAAUUUAUGAUUUAUCAUAGGAAUAGAAAGUCAUCUGAUCCGGAAUGGCAACGAUACAACGGAAUCCACUUCAAGCAAUCCUAUUGAAUCAGGGCUCAAUGCAAAAUUACCAACUGCGUGAUUGAUUAAGCAACACAGAACACACUGAUCCGCCUGCGAAUUGACCUCUAAUCACUCAAUCACAACUGCAAAGCAAACACAGCGAAAAAAUGGAUGCAGCACUUGCAUAAUAACUGCAUUUAUUGCUAGUCAAAAUGCAAACCCAUGUUAUUAGAAAAUUAGUCACGAUAGUAUAUUCCAUUAUGGCCCAUCUAACAUGGGUCUCAUGGACCCACAAUAACAUUCGAGCCCAAUGCAUAUGGGUCUCCAUGCUGCUAUUAAGGCCCAACUGAGAUAUAUAUGGGCCAAAAUAUUUAAGACGUGUGCGGUGGAUUCGUUAUGGGUCUUGUAGGUCCAAAUGUAAAGACUUUUGUCUUUGUCCUAUCCAAUAAAAGAUAGUUCAGAUGGUACAUUAAUACUUGUUUUCUCAAAACACAAAAAAUGAUACAUACUAAAACAAUUUUUUACCCUUGAACACUAGUGCAACAAAUACAAGUUAGGACAUGUUACCUCUUCAAUUUCCAUGUGGAAAGCAGGACACACCAUAAUUUAAUUCUAGUUAUAUUGCUAGACAUAUGCUCUUUAAAGCAAAAGUGAAUAAGUGAUCAGUGAUCAGCUAAUAUAAAUUCAACUGGUAAAUAAUUAAACAACAUGGCUAUAAAUACUGCAACAUAUCCUAUGCACACACUUAUCCUUGUGCACUCAUGCACUCGAUCACUCUAGACCAUAGGAUCUCAAAGAGGUCAUCUCUACUGCUGAAGAGAAGUUGAAGGAUCAAAGAGUAGAUGCAUGCUUCAGCUUCCAUCAAUCAAUCACUACAACCAUCUUCACCAACAGGCUGUUCAUUUCUUUCCUAUGUGAUAUACCACUACUAUAGAAAUGGUUUUUGCAGACAGCCAAAAACGGUCUUCAUAUGCGAAAAGGUCUGCGAAAAUCGAGUUUUUCGCAUGCGGAUCCUACGAAUGGUAGUCAUUAGGAAGGAAAGCACAACAUAUGGAGUAUGAUGGGGUAAACAACUGCGUCAUGGAGGGAGGCAUCAGCCAGAUCCUCGCCGGCAGCGCAAACCAAAUUCCCCGCUGAAGAUUUGAAGUUGCUACGCCCCUACAAGUUCAGGAGGAGCUUCUGUUUAGCAGCAUGCUUUCUCCGGCUCUCUUCCAUCGAUUGCAUUAUUCAUCAA